CGUAAGCAAGGGAGGACUGUAUUGCUGAACACCUGAGUCUCUCUGAAGAAGCAAACUGCUGACUUUAUGUGGGGUUUUGAGAACUAUGAUCUUCAGGGGUUGGAGGAUUUUUGGAGCCAAGGAAGCUGUGUGUGUUCAGAGAGUGCUACAGGCAUUCAUCAUAUUCACAGACACCGAAGGAGACUUUCUAACAUUCACAAGUGUGUGCUGCCCCAAGGUCAGCGAAGGUCAUCCACAAAGCCAAUGUUGAAGGAAAAGUGAGGAUCAUGCUACCUAUGAGAUGAAGCCACCAAAUGGCCCCAAAUGUUAGCCUGGGCACACAUGAGGUCAUUUAUCUUCACUUCUACCAGUAAGAAUGUACACUAAGAAAACAGGAAAAUAGUGAAACUCAUUGAAACAUGAAGUGGCAACAACUAAGAAAAGUCUUCAUGCCGUGAUCUGGGAGGAAUUAACACCAAUCAUCGCAGAAAACAAAGCUGGGUAAGAUCAAACAAGCAAAGUGUGAGUCAACCAGUGUUGCUCCCAGGCUUUCCCUAAACAAAAUCGAGAUGACCUUUUUCUUCCUCCUCCUCUUUCUUUUCCUUCUUCAAAGUCACUCUAUCUCCUAACUUGGGCACCCGGGGUCUGGAUCAGCAAGAGAAUGUGUGGGUCAGCUACCUCUUCUCCUUGGGGCUGCAUUUCCCCCUCCCCACCAGUUCUCCUCUCUGCUCACAAGCAACACAGGAGAAAGGUGAUGAGGCUAGUCAGGGAGACCGGAUAGAAGAGGCUCAGAGCAUUUUGGGAGUUAUGGUCUUCAGGAGUGAGAAAGAAAAGAAACUUUUUAUCUGAGGAAUGUGAGCCCCCUUAAUUACCAGGCCCAGAGAGGCAAUGAAAUGUGAUAGCGUGUGACAGCAGUCACAUCUCACUCCCUCUUGAGCUAAAUAAUUACCUCUUGAAACCACUUGCUAUAUGGGCUCUAGACUAACUGACGCCAAGUAGCCAUAAAGUGCCAUACACCCUAUAGUUCACUAAUGUACAGCCAAUCACUAAUCAAUGUUAUUUCUGUAAACCAAUGAGAAUUUGACAAUAACUUUGUAGCAGCCCAUUCCCUGUCCCCCUCUUGCCUUUAAAACCUUGCUAGUAACAAAGGCCAAAGGGGAACACUCUCCAAAGCAACUUGGAAGUGUAUCCUGAGAAACCGUUGGCCCAAAUAAAUUCUAUUAAUUUCACCUCAGUUUCUUUCUUUGGGUUAAUAGGAGUAUAUAAUAAGAACAAUGUCUAUGGAGGGCUGACUAUGUGCUAGGCAUCAUAGUGCACAUUUAACAACAAUUACUAGGGGAAUUUCUAUUAAACCUUUAUUUUUCGGCAGUGGCCUCCUCUUAAUUAAUUUCAUUGCUUUACUCUUGGGAAUUGCCUGGAUUUUUUUUUCUAAUUCCAAACAGUUUCUGUGCAUCUUCCAAGAUGAAUCUAGAAGUCCUUAAAAUUAUAGUUCAAUGAUAGAUCAGUCUCCAGCAGACCUUCGCUGCUCUCUGAAAGGGCUUUUGGUCAGCCCAGAGUGAUUCAAGGACUAAGCACUCCAAGGUGCGCUCAGGCCAAAAUGUAUCUGUAGAUUUUUCAUAUUGCUUCAAGGGCUGUUUACCUUAAGAUUUUUUUUAAACUAGUCUUUGUCAUUUUGCAUAUUUAGCUUUUAACCCAAUUUUGUAAGAUCAGGUCUGCAAACCUGUAAUUACCUGUGUAAUUAAAGUGAGAUGUAUCAUUAAAAUAUUCAACCUAUUUUUUAAAAAAGAUCCCUUUUUGUUUCUGUAAAAAUCAUGUCUGCUUAUUGUUAACAACUUAAGCAGGGCAGAAAGAGUUGAAAGAGGAAAGUUAAAGAGAAAAACCAUCAAAUUUCUGGCCCUGAGAAAUAAUCAUUUUAGAUUUAAGGAAAAUAAGUACAAGCCCCAACAAAAGAUUCUUAAUAAUUGAAGACAUAGCUAAGUAAAAAGGAUUUCCAAAACGCACUCACGUGAAUUAUAUUUAGAGGCUGUAGUUUGAUUAGAACUGCCUACAGGGUGUGAUUUGAGGCUCCUUUGCUAAAACAUAAUUCUUCUGGGCUGUCGGAGGUGUAUGAAAAGCCCGUUCCCCAAUUCCCCUUCCUAAGGUUUCUCUCCAGCUUGUAGAUUCUGCUGACCUUGGGCCAAUCACCCCAUCUCUCUAGUCCUCAGCUUCAAAAUGAGGGGGCUGGACCAAGUCAUCCCUGAAAGCCCCUCCAUGACUCACAGUCUAGGGGCUGUUUUCCGUGUUAAAUGGGAAAGUAUCAUACGAGGUGCUUGAAUUGUAUGAAUGGAAGUGGAGAGCUCAGAAAUAUUGGGGGUAGGAGGAACUCAGGGGAACCCCAAGCUGUGCGAUUCCCCUGAAUUCAUCUAACCCCUUUGGAGGAAAGGGAGGAAUGAAUGGAGGAAAUGCAGAUAUUUGGGACAAAGAUGAAAGGAGAGAGAGACGGGACCAAACUUAGGAAAUUUCAUUUCCACCACAAUUUAAUCUAAGGUUGACCUAAAUUUUAUUGUCCGUGUCUUUGAUUGCAAAUACAUUAAAAAUGAUAAUUAUGUGGUAAUUAAAGCCUGAAAUUAACCAACAAAGGAAAGGUACACAUUAGUGAUAGGUCUUUAAAUUAUACCAAGACUUCCUGCAUCUCCAGUCCUAAUGGUUUCAGAUUAUUAACCAAUUAGCAGAGAGGUGUAGGAGCAGGCAAACUUGUAGUGCAGGCGUCAGGAGAAGCAAAGACCAAUCACGAAGUGAGAACAAAGCUUCACCGCACGGAGACGUAAGUCAGGGCACACACACGCCUCAGUUUAGAAGAGUUGGGUGACCCUUCCUCGUUGGUUUACCUUUGUGAAGUCUCUGCGUGUCAAAGAAUUCCCAUGGUUUGCACAGUGAGAGGAUGUGUGGUGAAGUAAUAGAGUUAGCAAUAAAGCCAUCCCACUAAGAAGGUUUCAAACUUAGACGAUGUCGUCGAUUUAUUUACUAUGUGGCUGCUUCACUAGAAGGUAAGCUCCCAGCAGUCAGGGACUUGCUCUGUUUGGUUCCCUGCUGUGUCCUCUGGGUCUGAAUAGAGCUUGCGUCAAUAAACAUUUGUGAAUGAUGAGCCCAGGGUUUGCCUCAAAAGAGGAGAGGACUUCCUGCUGAAGACAGAUGACUCACAAAGUCAUUAGGAUGAGAAAUUAUUUCGAGUUCUUCUUCUACAUCCCAAGGAUGAUGAAAGAACCCCCACCCCAAAGCAUGACUGAAAUGGAAUAUCCUAACAGCCUAUGUGAGUCUGGGCCUGAACCAAAUUUAUUUAAGAAAAUACUCUGUUGGCCGGGCACGGUGGCUCACAUCUGUAAUCCUAGGACUUUGGGAGGCUGAGGCGGGUGGAUUAUGAGGUCAGGAGUUCAAGACCAUCCUGGCCAAUAUGGUGAAACCCUGUCUCUACUAAAAAUACAAACAUUAGCUGGGCAUAGUGGCAUGUGCCUGUAGUCCCAGCUACUCAGGAGACUGAGGCAGAAGAAUCGCUUGAACCCAGGAGGCAGAGUUUGCAGUGAGCAGAGAUCACACCACUGCACUCCAGCCUGGGCAACAAAGCAAGAUUCUGUCUCAAAGAAAAAAAGAAAGAAAAGAAAAGAAAAGAAAAAUAAAAUAAAGACAGUUACCCAUUGCUGCAGAGCAGAGCACCCCAAAUGUCGUGGCAUAAAACAACACCUUUUUAUUAAGCUCACAGAUUCUGUGAGUCAGGAAUUUGGGCAAAGAUGGCUUGUCCCUGCUCUGUGAUAUCUGGAGUCUCAGCUGUAUAGAUUUGAAGGCCAGAAGGGCUAGAGUCCUGCAGGUUUCUUUAUCACAUGUCUGGGUCCUGGGUUGGGAUGACUUGAAGUCUGGGCUUGGCUGGUUCUAUGACCCAGAACACCUACAUGGGGCUUCUCCGUGUGACUUAGGCUUCUCAGCACGGUGGUGGGUUCCAAAUAGGAGAUUCUAAAGAGCCAGUGUCCCCAGAGAACCAGGCAGAGACGGCCUCACCCUUCUGACCUAGCCUUAGAAGUUACACGAACAGUGUCACUUCCACCACACACGAUGGUCACAGCUUGCCCAGAUUCAAGGGCUAUAACUCUACCUCUUGAUAAAAAGAAUGUCAAAGAGCUUGUGUCUACUUUACAAACUGCCCCAAUGUAUGAAGUUUUUCAACUGGAUGUCUGCAU